rnacentral:tRNA from 1 species
UUAAAAAUAAGCUAAAAAUAAGCUUUUGGGCUCAUACCUCAAAUAUAAAGGAUCACCUUUUUUUUAAA